rnacentral:rRNA from 1 species
AACGAACGCUGGCGGUGCGUUUUAAGCAUGCAAGUCGAACGGGAUAAUAGUGCUUGCACUAUUUGAGAGUGGCGAACGGGUGAGUAACACGUGGAUAAUCUGCCGAGAAGUUGGGGAUAGCCUUCAGAGAUGGAGGGUAAUACCGAAUAAUGUUUUCUUACAAAAGUAAGGGAAAGAAAG